UUCAUCUGGCCCCCAACAGAGUAUCAAGAUUCCUUGUCUCUCCCAAUCUCUGCUCAUAUUGGAUAUCUGGAAUCCUUAUAAUUAGUCUGAAGAUUAAACCCUGCUCUUGGAACCUUAUAGUUCAGUUAUGCACAUUGUUAGAAAAUUUACUGGUUACUUUAUAUGGUGCCCGAGGAGCAUCCAAAACAAGUGAGAGCAGCUUAUGAAUGGUAUUUAACAAUUUCAGUUCAUCACCUCUUGAUAUAAGAAAGCAUAUUGCAGUUGUAUACAGAUCCUGGCAAAAGUUCGCAAUAAAAAACGUAAACAA